UACGUAGGGGGCUAGCGUUGCUCGGAAUUACUGGGCGUAAAGGGCGCGUAGGCGGCGCUGUUAGUCAGGCGUGAAAUUCCUGGGCUUAACCUGGGGACUGCGCUUGAUACGGCAGUGCUAGAGGGUGGAAGAGGGUCGCGGAAUUCCCAGUGUAGAGGUGAAAUGCGUAGAUAUUGGGAAGAACACCGGUGGCGAAGGCGGCGACCUGGGCCAUUACUGACGCUGAGGCGCGACAGCGUGGGGAGCAAACAGG
rnacentral:rRNA from 1 species